rnacentral:rRNA from 1 species
GAUGAACGCUAGCGGCAGGCUUAAUACAUGCAAGUCGUGGGGCAGCAUGAGUAGCAAUACUUGAUGGCGACCGGCAAACGGGUGAGGAACACGUACACAACCUUCCUUCAAGCGGGGAAUAGCCCAGAGAAAUUUGGAUUAAAUACCCCAUAAUAUAUUUGAUAAGGCAUCUUAUUAAUAUUAAAGCUUCGGCACUUGAUGAUGGGUGUGCGGCUGAUUAGAUAGUUGGCGGGUAACGGCCCACCAAGUCUACGAUCAGUAGCUGAUGUGAGAGCAUGAUCAGCCACACGGGCACUGAGACACGGGCCCGACUCCUACGGGAGGCAGCAGUAAGGAAUAUUGGACAAUGGACGAAAGUCUGAUCCAGCCAUGCCGCGUGAAGGAUUAAGGUCCUCUGGAUUGUAAACUUCUUUUAUAUGGGACGAAAAAAGGGCAUUCUUGUUCACUUGACGGUACCAUAUGAAUAAGCACCGGCU